GCAUUUAUUUUGAAAGGCACCGCGCACAACCCCAUGCUCCCGUCUUUUUCUUAAUGAGGAAAUCUAGCACACCUGUCUGUAAACCUGUCCACACGCUGCACUGUCUGAGAAGCAGCGCAGCCACAUCGUAGGUGAGUCCACAAAUAAAUUGCAAGAGUUAUUAUUACUGCGGGAAUUUAUGUUUAUAUUCGUUUGGCUUGUAUUUGUUUGUGGAAAGACUGUAGUGCGGAGAGGUUAUAUUGGUUCGAUUGAAGAUAGCGCGCUCGGAAAGCAGAUGGAGGUAGGAGAAAUGGAAAUGUUUAUUGUUGGUUUUGUGAAUUGUAUUUUAAUGCCACACCGUUGUUACGUUUCUGAAAUUUUGUAGUUUUCAAGGUGUCAACAAAAGAACAAAAAAUGACUGAAAAUAAAGUUAAAGAACACCCGUCGAAGCCCUCUGCGUGUCGCAUCAUUCCGAGCGGUCAGCUACAGUGAAAACUCCUCGGCGGCGACCAGCGCAUGUUUCCCGGCUGCAACGGAUUGCCAUUUCGGUGGAGGCCCGGACGCCCUCGUACCUUAAAUUCAUCGAUCGUCCAACAACAAGCCAACUAAACUAACUCCACUCCCAUCGGCAUCUUGCGCAGGGAAAAGCGCAUUCAAGGUCAUCUACGGACACAGACACAUGACACAGAGCGACAAGGAGCAAAGAGGAGGGACAUACGCACCCAAUCUGGCAGUGGAAUUGAAGAUCCAGCCAUGACAGCUCGCAUUAGAUGACGUCAAAGUAAUUUGUGGCGUAAAUUAAAAACUUUGGGGCGCAAUUUUGGUUCAAAUGUUUAUGGUAUAAUAUUACAUGACAUGUCUGUUUAUAAAAGGGAAAUACGGUUGAAGCUCUAUAGCUAUUAAUGUCUAUUUAGGGAUUUCCAUUAAUGGCAUUUUUUGAUUGUCACUGUGUAUGCUGAAAUUCUAUUUGAAGGUCCAUAAGUUUUAAAUGCUUGACAAAGUGUUACUCUGUGGUGUAAAAUAACUUCAGCUUAUAAGUAUAGUUUCAAGCGUGGGACAAUAAAAGGUUGCAAGCAAAUAAGACAGUCAGAAAAAAAAAAAAAAAGAAAAAAUUAAAAUGUCACUUCAAGCCGAGAAAACAGACAAUCCCAUAGACAUGCCACUCAGGUCUAGCUCACGUGAGAGAAAAUUAACAGAAAAGGGCCAAGAGAUGCAGAAGCAAAUGGCUAAAAAACAUGCUAAAAUAUUUCAUAAAGCUUAUAACUCUUGGAAAUUGACGGCGAGGGAUGUAAGGACACAAUUAAAGACCCUCUGCUCAGCAGAAGAACUCAACAAAUCAAAGCAAGAUGUUGAAAUGAAGCACAAUGCUGUAAGAGAGCAAUAUGAACCUAUUUUAAGGAACAGUAACACCACACCUGAAAUUGUCAACAAAAUGGACGCCUGUGUUACUUUAACGAAGGAAAUAAGUAAUCUAAUAGUUAACCGCCUUGAAACUGUUGACGAAGAUUAUAAUGAUCAACUUGAGAAAGAGCGAGUCAGAGCAGCUUUAAAUAAAAAUGAAUAUGGCUCAGUUUUUGGGUACACCAUAACGGAAACUACAAGUUCAUCUGAAACAACAAGUGAUCAUUCUGGGUCAAGCAGCACUCAAAGCAGCAGAGUAGAGGCCAAAGCAGAGUUAGCCGCUAGGAUUGAACGAUCCAAGUCCAUGGAAGAAAUUCAAGCACAGCAAGCCCAUGUCCACAAACUGGAAAGUGAAUGGAAGCUUAAAGAAGCAAAAAUGAUGUCGGAAAUGAAACAAAGGGAAGUUGAAACGCAGCAGCAGCUAGAGCAGGAGAGGGCCAAACUGCAGCAGUUACAAGCAAAAAAGGAGGUCGCUAUUGCAGCAGCUCGUGUGAGAGCAUAUGAUGGUUUUGAUGGCUAUGAGAAUCGCAACGAAGGAAUCAAUGACAGAAUUAACCCUGUAUGUCACAGACGACUUAAAACUGAGCCUUCAUUGAAUCCAGGUGCAGCACCGUUUCAACCUCGCCAAGCAUCGUUUGACAAUACGACGCAAGAGGAAAGUAGCCUAGCACAAGCAAUUGCUAGUUCUUUGAGUAUGAAUCGGUUACCAGUGCCUGAACCCACCAUGUUUAGUGGCGAUCCUUUAAAAUUUACAGAUUGGAAAAUGUCGUUCAUGACUCUCAUUGACAGAAAGCCCCUCCCUGCAAGCGAAAAAAUGUUUUAUUUAAAAAAUUAUCUUAUUGGAGAGGCGCGCAGAGCUGUGGAAGGUUUCUUUUACCGAGAUUCCGAAAAUGCUUAUAACGGAGCUUGGAAAGUUCUACAAGACAGAUAUGGAAAUCCGUUUAUUGUACAAAAAGCGUUCCGUGAUAAGCUCUUAAAAUGGCCAAAGAUAAACACUAAUGACCCACGAGCACUACAAGAGUUCUCUGACUUCCUCCAAAGCUGUGUUGAAGCAAUGCCACACGUCAGUGGUCUAGCUAUUCUUAACGAUUGUGAAGAAAAUCAAAGGUUGCUCAAAAAACUACCUGAAUGGAUUGUUAGAAAGUGGAGUCGAAUUGUGGUCGAUGAACUCGACACAACAGGCAACUUUCCAGACUUCGCAUGCUUCACUGAGUUCCUAAGUAAAGAAGCGAGAAUCUCUUGUAAUCCCAUUACUUCUCAACUGUUGACAAAUUUCAGAACUAUAGAUGACAGGAACCUAAAGAGAGCUAAAGCCUUCAAUACAAACACACAACCAAGAGAUCUUGCACACGAAAGCCAAGUAGCAAUUAGCAGUAAACCCAAAUGGCCUUGUUUUGUGUGUAAAAAUGAGACACAUGUCAUCACAAAAUGUCCCACCUUUGCAGCUAAGAGCAUGGAGGAUAAAAGAGCCUUUAUACAUGAAAACAGACUCUGUUUUGGAUGCUUGAGAAAGGGUCACAUGACCAAGGAUUGUAAAAGACGACACACCUGUAGCACCUGCAAUCGACGUCACCCAACCUGUUUGCAUGAGGACCGAAGGCAAGAACUGGUGGAAGCACGAACUAGUAACUCUGCUGCCACAGAAGGACAUGAAAGUCAAGUGCCACACCAUGCUGUGUCACACAUAUCAACACAACAUACGUCUGCCACCUCAAGUAUUGUACCAGUUUUUGUUUCAUCAGUUCAAGAACCACACAGAGAAGUACUCACAUAUGCAAUGCUGGACACACAAAGUGAUUCAACAUUUGUUUUAGAAGAUGUGCUCGACAAAUUAAGUGUAAACGUCCAACCAGUAAACUUGAAACUUAGUACCAUGACCGCAAUUGACACAAUUAUACCCAGCAAGUGCGUUCAUGGUCUACAAGUACGAGGACUCAAUUCUGAGAUCCUCAUUCAAAUACAAAAAGCCUAUAGUCGUGACUUCAUCCCAGUAGAUAAGUCUUAUAUUCCAACAAAGGAGACAGCAUUGCGUUGGCCUCAUCUCAAAACCUUGGCAUGUAAAAUACCACCUCUUCAAGACUGUGAUAUCGGGCUCUUAAUCGGAUACGACUGUCCUACAGCACUGGCUCCUCGUGAAGUAAUUUUAGGUGACACAAACCAGCCGUUCGCACAACGAUCAGAACUAGGAUGGAGUAUAAUAGGUUCAUCAAACCCCCACCUAGACAGACAAGGAAGUCAUAGCUUUGUGCACCGGCUCACAGUCAAGGAGUUGCCAUGUCCAACAACGACAGAUGUUAUAAAGGCCCUUGAAGCAGACUUCAGUGAGAAAGCGUACGAGGAUAGGUACGUGUCACAAGAAGAUGUCCAGUUUAUACAGUUUCUCAGUAAAAAUAUUAAGCAAAAUCAUGACAGCCAUUAUGAGAUGCCCCUUCCUUUCAAAGGUGACAGUUUACCUAAUCUGCCAAACAACAAGAAAUUAGCUAUGGUUCGCUUACAGUGUCUCAAAAGAAAAUUGAAGGCCGAUAAACAAUAUUAUGAUCAAUACAAAACAUUCAUGGAGGAAACUAUUAACAAGGGUGAUGCAGAGCCUGCCCCUACAACAUUCAAAGGUCAAACAGAGUGGUAUCUGCCGCAUCAUGGCGUUUAUCAUCCUAAAAAGCCAGAUAAGUUAAGAGUUGUGUUUGAUGGUUCUUCAAAAUUUCAUGGAAUUUCUUUAAACGACACACUGCUAACUGGACCUGAUCUAAUUAAUCCCUUAGUAGGAGUACUUUGUAGAUUCAGAAAGGAAAAGGUAGCCAUUAUCUGUGACAUCGAAAGAAUGUUUUAUCAAUUUUCUGUCUCUCCGGAGUCAAGAAAUUAUUUGAAAUUCCUUUGGUGGAAAGGUGGUGAUCUGGAGAAGGAACCACAAGAGUACAGAAUGACAGUUCAUCUCUUUGGAGCCGCAUCGUCUCCGGGAUGUGCCAAUUUUGGCCUCAAGUAUCUAGCAAAACAAUACAAGGAUAAUCAUCCACGGGCAUCAACAUUUUUGGAGAAGAACUUUUAUGUUGAUGACGGUUUAGCUAGUGUUUCAUCAGUGGAAGAAGCCAAAAAACUGAUCACUGAGUCACAAGAGUUGUGCAAAAGAGGAGGCAUGCGCCUGCAUAAGUUCAACUCAAAUGAAGAGGCAGCGCUCUCUUGUUUGAAACCCUCUGAAAGAGCGACUAACAACGAGCCCUUAGGACUAGAUCCAUUUCCAUCAGAACGGGCUCUCGGUGUUCAGUGGUCAAUUAAAGAAGACACUUUCAACUUUACCAUAUGUGCAAAGGAUCAGCCUUCCACCCGCCGUGGCUGUUUGUCGAUCAUUGCCUCUCUCUUUGAUCCACUUGGAUUCAUUGCCCCAUUCAUUCUAACAGGAAAGCGAAUCCUGCAAGAGCUUUGUCAACGCAACAUUGGAUGGGACGAUCCACUCCCAGAAGAUAUUAAGCCACGGUGGGAGGAAUGGAGGAAUGAUCUUUUCAAAUUGAAAGAGGUUACAAUUCCAAGAUGUUACCAUCCAUUUAACUUCCAUAACAUUACCAGAGUAGAAUUACAUCAUUUUUCGGAUGCUAGCUGUGUAGGUUAUGGUAUGUGCUCUUACCUUAGAUAUAAAACUAAUAAGGACGAAGUCCAUUGCUGUCUUGUUAUGGCAAAGGCAAGAGUUGCACCUUUAAAGGUUACUAGUAUCCCCAGACUUGAACUUUCGGCAGCUGUCAUUUCCAUCCAAAUAAGUGUCAUGCUUAGGAGUGAGCUUGAUAUGAAAAUUGAUCAAGAAUAUUUUUGGACAGACUCUCAAGUGGUGCUUGGUUACAUCAACAAUGACUCGCGCAGGUUUCACAUAUUUGUUGCUAAUCGUGUUCAAUUAAUCAGAAAUAACAGUGAUCCCGGUCAGUGGCAUUUUGUAGACACUUCUGAGAACCCUGCAGAUCAUGCUUCGAGAGGUCUACGAGUUUCAGACAUUCAAUUAACAAACUGGCUGCCAGGACCCAGUUUUCUCUGGGAAAGUGACUUGCAUCCAACACCUCUCACUUCAACCGAGUUACUUGUUGGAGAUCCUGAAGUCAAGGCAAUCCAAGUGCUUGCAACUGAAGUCAAAGACUGUAACGACAUUCUUACACGGUUUAGUAGAUUUUCUUCAUGGACAACGCUAAUAAAAGUGGUUGCAAGAAUCCUAAGACUGAGAUCUAAAACUCAACAAUAUAGUGAGCACGUGACUGUCGAAGAGCGGGAAAAGGCCACACGGGCAAUUAUUGAAAUGGUACAGCAGCAAGCUUUCAGCCAAGAGAGGAAGAUGCUUCAACGUGGUAACCCUCUUCCAAACUCGAAUUCUCUUUUUGGCUUGGAACCCAUAUUGAUUGAAGGACUUCUUUGUGUUGGUGGGAGAUUAAAAGGGUCUUCUCUCUGCCAUAAAAUAAAGCACCCAGCCAUUUUGCCAAACAGCAGUCACAUCACGGAGAUGAUUGUGCGUUAUUACCAUGCCAAGACUUGUCAUCAGGGACGAAGCCAGACGCAAAUGGAGCUCAGGAUCAAUGGGUAUUGGGUCAUUGGCGGCAGCAAGCUGGUUGCAAAACUCAUACACACUUGUGUGUACUGUAGAAGAAUGCGGCGGCCUAUAGAGAGCCAACAAAUGGCUGAACUCCCAAAGGAACGCCUUGAAUCCUCUGCACCUUUUACAUAUACUGGCAUGGAUUGUUUUGGCCCCUUUAUUGUAAGGAAAGCCCGCAAAGAAUUAAAGCGAUAUGGAGUUAUUUUUACAUGUUUAUACUCCCGAGCGGUUCAUAUAGAAAUGCUAGAAGACCUAUCAACGGACUCCUUUAUUAACGCAUUAAGAUGCUUCAUCAGUCUUAGAGGAGCUGUCCGAAAAUUAUACUGUGAUCAAGGGUCUAACUUUGUGGGUGCCCAAAAUGAGUUUAAAAGGGCACUUAAACAAUGCAACUCCAAACAGUUAGAAGUCUUUUUAGCUGAGAACCAAUGUGAAUUUGUGUUUAAUGCCCCUUCUGCCAGCCAUGCAGGUGGUGUUUGGGAGCGACAAAUUAGAACAGUUAGAAGCAUACUAAAUGGUACUUUUGCUCUGUGCCCAGGCCGUUUAGAUGACUCUUCUCUCCGAACACUAUUGUACGAAGCCAUGGCAAUUGUCAAUAGUCGGCCACUAACAGUAGAUGGAAUGAAUGAUCCACAGGCUUUGGAACCUUUGACACCAAAUCAUCUUAUUAUGAUGAAAGCUCAAGUUUCCCUUCCUCCUCCUGGAGUGUUUGUAAAGGAAGAUUUAUAUGGGACAAAGCGGUGGAGAAGAGUCCAAUAUCUCAUUGAACAAUUCUGGAGUCGGUGGAAAAGGGAAUACUUGCUCAACAUAUCCACUAGACAGAAAUGGCACUUACCAAAGCGCAACCUGAAAGUCAAUGAUAUUGUUAUCAUAAAGGAAGAUCACCUUCCAAGAAACCAGUGGCAAUUAGGGCGAAUAGUUGAGGCAGUCCAAGAUGGCGAUGGCUUAGUUCGGCGAGUCAAAGUCAGAGUUGGCGUGCGCAAAGCGCAAGAAAAUCAGGGUUCCUCCUUUAAAAUGUCCGUUAUCGAGAGACCAAUUCAAAAACUAGUUCUUCUCGUGGAGAAUUGACAGUAGUUGUACACGCACACAGUUGAGAAAUUCUGUACAAUUCAUUUUACUGUUGUUUGUUCAUUGUAACAGAAUUUGGUGGGAGUGUAAAUGGCGUGUGGGUCUGUGAAUUGCGGGCACUUCCGUUUUUGCAUUUAUUUUGAAAGGCACCGCGCACAACCCCAUGCUCCCGUCUUUUUCUUAAUGAGGAAAUCUAGCACACCUGUCUGUAAACCUGUCCACACGCUGCACUGUCUGAGAAGCAGCGCAGCCACAUCGUAGGUGAGUCCACAAAUAAAUUGCAAGAGUUAUUAUUACUGCGGGAAUUUAUGUUUAUAUUCGUUUGGCUUGUAUUUGUUUGUGGAAAGACUGUAGUGCGGAGAGGUUAUAUUGGUUCGAUUGAAGAUAGCGCGCUCGGAAAGCAGAUGGAGUUUUCAAGGUGUCAACAAAAGAACAAAAAAUGACUGAAAAUAAAGUUAAAGAACACCCGUCGAAGCCCUCUGCGUGUCGCAUCAUUCCGAGC